UACGAAGGGGGCGAGCGUUGUUCGGAUUUACUGGGCGUAAAGGGCGCGUAGGCGGCCCUCUUUGUCGCGUGUGAAAGCCCCGGGCUCAACCUGGGAAUUGCGCGCGAAACGGGGGGGCUUGAGUUCGGGAGAGGAGCGUGGAAUUCCCAGUGUAGAGGUGAAAUUCGUAGAUAUUGGGAAGAACACCGGUGGCGAAGGCGGCGCUCUGGACCGAGACUGACGCUGAGGCGCGAAAGCUAGGGGAGCAAACGGG
rnacentral:rRNA from 1 species